UACAGAGGUCCCAAGCGUUUGUUCGGAUUCACUGGGCGUAAAGGGUGCGUAGGUGGUGAGGUAAGUCGGAUGUGAAAGCUCGGAGCUCAACUCCGAAAUGGCAUUGGAAACUACCUUGCUCGAGGGUUGGAGGGGGGGACUGGAAUGCUUGGGUGUAGCAGUGAAAUGCGUAGAUAUCAAGCGGAACACCAGUGGCGAAGGCGAGUCCCUGGACAACUCCUGACACUGAGGCACGAAAGCUAGGGGAGCAAACAGG
rnacentral:rRNA from 1 species